CCUACGGGCGGCUGCAGUGAGGAAUAUUGCGCAAUGGGGGCAACCCUGACGCAGCAACGCCGCGUGAGUGAGGAAGGUUUUCGGACCGUAAAGCUCUGUCGAGCGGGAAGAAAUGCAUGGUGGCUAAUAUCCAUCAUGCUUGACGGUACCGCUAAAGGAAGCACCGGCUAACUCCGUGCCAGCAGCCGCGGUAAUACGGGGGGUGCGAGCGUUGUUCGGAAUUAUUGGGCGUAAAGAGCGUGUAGGCGGCUGGAUCAGUCAGAUGUGAAAUCCCUGGGCUUAACCCAGGACGUGCAUUUGAAACUGUCCGGCUGGAGUAGGGGAGAGGAAAGUGGAAUUCCUGGUGUAGAGGUGAAAUUCGUAGAUAUCAGGAGGAACACCGGUGGCGAAGGCGACUUUCUGGCCCUAUACUGACGCUGAGACGCGAGAGCGUGGGUAGCAAACAGGAUUAGAUACCCGUGUAGUC
rnacentral:rRNA from 1 species